rnacentral:rRNA from 1 species
CAGCAGCCACGGUAAUACCAGCACCUCGAGUGGUCAGGAGGUUUAUUGGGCCUAAAGCAUCCGUAGCCGGUUGCAUAAGUUUUCGGUUAAAUCUAUGCGCUUAACGUAUAGGCCGCCGAAAAUACUGUGCAGCUAGGGAGUGGGAGAGGUACACGGUACUCGAUAGGAAGGGGUAAAAUCCUUUGAUCUAUUGAUGACCACCUGUGGCGAAGGCGGUGUACCAGAACACGUUCGACGGUGAGGGAUGAAAGCUGGGGGAGCAAACCGGAUUAGAUACCCCUGUAGUCCCUGUCUCUUAUAC